UACAGAGGGUGCAAGCGUUAAUCGGAAUUACUGGGCGUAAAGGGCGCGUAGGCGGAUAUUUAAGUUGGAUGUGAAAGCCCUGGGCUUAACCUAGGAAUGGCAUACAAAACUGGAUAUCUGGAGUACUGUAGAGGGUAGUGGAAUUUCCGGUGUAGCGGUGAGAUGCGUAGAGAUCGGAAGGAACACCAGUGGCGAAGGCGGCUACCUGGACAGAUACUGACGCUGAGGCGCGAGAGCGUGGGGAGCAAACAGG
rnacentral:rRNA from 1 species